GGCAGCCUAGGUCGUGGGUGUCGAGCAGCAGCCCGAGAUCUAGGCGCAGGGACCUCCAUGUCGAACUCCACAAUGAGCAGGCCACCUCAAUGGCGAAUUUGGAGAGCACCCGCGCAGAUCCGCCAGGACCAACCCCUCCUCCGUCUCCACCACCUACAUGGUGGUUGCUCCGUCCACUUCAGCCAGAAGAAUUUUGUUAGAUUUGUCAUAAUUUGCGGGACAAGUGAAAAUGCAAUACCAACAAGGAAAGGAUGCUAUGGCUCAUCUCUGCAUAAUUUUUCCGUUGGACCCAACUGGUAUGUUGGAGAGGCACAGGGGAAAGAGACAGUUGUUUGUUCAUGAUUCGCUCAACAGAAACAUGUGGGAAUCACUUGUUUGUAUCCCAAAGAAUUCGAUCAAAGAGGACUGGAAGGAUUUUGAGAUUGCCGGCAACUGCAAAUUCAGCGCU